UACGUAGGGUGCGAGCGUUGUCCGGAAUUACUGGGCGUAAAUAGCUCGUAGGUGGUUUGUCGCGUUGUUCGUGAAAACCUGAGGCUUAACCUUGGGCGUGCGGGCGAUACGGGCAGACUGGAGUACUGCAGGGGAGACUGGAAUUCCUGGUGUAGCGGUGGAAUGCGCAGAUAUCAGGAGGAACACCGGUGGCGAAGGCGGGUCUCUGGGCAGUAACUGACGCUGAGGAGCGAAAGCGUGGGGAGCGAACAGG
rnacentral:rRNA from 1 species